AUACCUACCCCGCGUCGGGAUACAGUGAUCAUGCAGGCGGUUCUCCCGGGGUGCAGCUGCUCCAUUGCACUGCGGAGUGGUUGAUCCUUGCGAUUAUUUUUAUAUUUUAUAAGUUUUCAAUUCUACCGUGUGUGACUUGCAAACGCACACUUUUUUUUAUAU